CGGCCUGCGCCUGCUGCGGCGAGAUGUAGUGCACGUGGGAGUCGAUCGCCCCGGCGGUCGCGAUGCAGUGCUCACCGGCAAGGACCUCGGUCGUGGCGCCGACCACCAGCCGCGGGUCGACGCCGCUCUGCAGAUGAGGGUUGCCCGACUUGCCGAUACCGGCGAUCUUGCCGUCCUUGACGCCGAUGUCGCCCUUGAUCACGCCGAGGACGGGGUCGAGGAUGAUGGCGUUGGUGAUGACCAGGUCGAGCGCACCCUGAGCACUGGUGGCCUGCGGGUCGGCGGCCAUGCCGUCA
rnacentral:sRNA from 1 species